rnacentral:rRNA from 1 species
UACGGAGGGUGCAAGCGUUAUCCGGAUUCACUGGGUUUAAAGGGUGCGUAGGUGGUCUGUUAAGUCAGCGGUGAAAGCCUGGAGCUCAACUCCAGAAUUGCCAUUGAUACUGACGGACUUGAAUCAAGUUGAGGUGGAUGGAAUAUUACAUGUAGCGGUGAAAUGCUUAGAUAUGUAAUAGAACACCGAUUGCGAAGGCAGUUCACUAAGCUUGCAUUGACACUGAGGCACGAAAGCGUGGGGAUCAAACAGG